GGGGAUGUUAAUGGAUUCGUCAGGGCAUCGUAUGAUGUAUAAGCAUGUCUUGGUUGCUCAAGUAAAAAAGCCGAGGUUAAUUAAUAACCGGAAACCAAAAUUUACAAUUAGCUGCCUAAGAUAAGGUUCAGCUGGCAAAAAUAAGCUCACUUACGGUUUAUUGGCGCCCAAAGAAGUAAGUUAUAUCUAAUAAACUCCUUUAUAUUAGACGAAACUAAAAAGGAUAGUAUUAUUAACUUUUGUUUAUUUAGUUAAUGAUAUGAAAUUAUAAAUGAACUAAACAUGUAGAAAGUAUAUUUGAAAGUGUCUUGCACAGGGGUUCGACUCCCCUCAUCUCCACCA
rnacentral:tmRNA from 1 species